AUUGAACGCUGGCGGCAGGCUUAACACAUGCAAGUCGAGCGGGGGAAGGUAGCUUGCUACCGGACCUAGCGGCGGACGGGUGAGUAAUGCUUAGGAAUCUGCCUAUUAGUGGGGGACAACAUCUCGAAAGGGAUGCUAAUACCGCAUACGUCCUACGGGAGAAAGCAGGGGAUCUUCGGACCUUGCGCUAAUAGAUGAGCCUAAGUCGGAUUAGCUAGUUGGUGGGGUAAAGGCCUACCAAGGCGACGAUCUGUAGCGGGUCUGAGAGGAUGAUCCGCCACACGGGGACUGGAACACGGCCCAGACUCCUACGGGAGGCAGCAGUGGGGAAUAUUGGACAAUGGGGGGAACCCUGAUCCAGCUAUGCCGCGUGUGUGAAGAAGGCCUUAUGGUUGUAAAGCACUUUAAGCGAGGAGGAGGCUACUUUAGUUAAUACCUAGAGAUAGUGGACGUUACUCGCAGAAUAAGCACCGGCUAACUCUGUGCCAGCCGCCGCCGUAA
rnacentral:rRNA from 1 species